rnacentral:rRNA from 1 species
UACAGAGGGUGCGAGCGUUAAUCGGAAUUACUGGGCGUAAAGCGUGCGUAGACGGUAGCGUAAGUCAGAUGUGAAAGCCCCGGGCUCAACCUGGGAAUUGCAUUUGAGACUGCUCUGCUCGGGUGCGGAAGAGGGAAGCGGAAUUUCCGGUGUAGCGGUGAAAUGCGUAGAUAUCGGAAGGAACACCAGUGGCGAAAGCGGCGUGCUGGACCUCUUCUGACGCUGAGGCGCGAAAGCCAGGGUAGCGAACGGG